UACGUAGGGUGCAAGCGUUGUCCGGAAUUAUUGGGAGUAAAGAGCUCGUAGGCGGUCUGUCACGUCGGAUGUGAAAACUCGGGGCUCAACCCCGAGCCUGCAUACGAUACGGGCAGACUUGAGUUCGGCAGGGGAGACUGGAAUUCCUGGUGUAGCGGUGAAAUGCGCAGAUAUCAGGAGGAACACCGAUGGCGAAGGCAGGUCUCUGGGCCAUAACUGACGCUGAGAAGCGAAAGCAUGGGGAGCGAACAGG
rnacentral:rRNA from 1 species